rnacentral:lncRNA from 1 species
AAUACUUCAAUGUUCAAAUCCUUGGGAUGUAGGUUGAAGAAUCUGAGCCUUUUAUUAAGGUAUGCAUAUAUAUUGCACAGCAUAAAGUGAAUAUAUACAUAUAUAAUAUGGAUGUGGUGAUCCUCACAACCGACCCCCCCCCCGCCCCCCCCUACCACCCCUCUUCUCGUCUCACUCUCUCUCUUCUCUCUUGGCUGUUAAUAUCUAAAGGCAUGUUUGGGUCAUAAGAGACUUUUACUUUGGCUAAGAAUGGAAAUUUGAAUGAUUAUUUGGUUGUGGAAACACUAUUCUAUUCUAUUCUAGUUUUUAGUUGUGGAAUGACCAAUUGCUUAAUACUUCUUUUUGACUAGUCAAGGUGGCAGAAGUGAAAUAUCAAUCUAAGAUAACUUAGGUACCAAGCAUGCCCCAAGUAUAAGUAAUUAGUGUGAUCAACUAAGUCAUAACCUUUUAGUAGUUUGUGUACCAGAACUCUUGGCUUAUAGGGAACAAAAUAGUCACCAAAACAAACAGUUUUAAAAAAAUUACUGUUUUGUUACAUAAGAUAAAGUUCACCAAAUUGAUCGAAUAAGUUUAUUCAACAAAUAAAUGGAAGUUUUAUCUAUCAAUAUCUAUGUUCUUGGGCCAUCAAUGUCAUAAUAUUCAUCUAAUAGUUGGCAUUUAGAUAAGGUAUAUGGGUUGGCUGUUUCUUUCACUCAAAUGAAUUUAGGCCGACUGUUUGAAUAUUGGAAUAAGUUAUUCAAUUAAAUUUUAUUCAAUAUAAAAAUUUUCUACUAUGAUUGUAAAUUUAAAGCUUAUUUUUUUGCUUAUUGAAAAGUUUUGCUACUCAUAAUUUAGUAUGAUAGUAUAUUUCACCUACGAAGCUAUUUAUUUUAUUCUGAAAAAAAUGACUUGCCAGCGACUAUGAUAUUUCAUUCUAAUUAAACAGCUGAUCACACUUCCCAUUACCUAAAUUUAUAAAUUUCGUAAAUAAAUUAAAGAAUAUACAUCGAACAAGAUAUCCAUGAACCCAAACAGAGCCAUGAUAAUUUACUAGUCAAAACUUAGCUCUGAAUAUUUUUGUUUAGUUUGGUGGGGGAAACUCCAUAUGUGCACUAAUUCAUUGGUCAAAACAUAAUAAAUAGGUUAAUGAGAAGUUACUAUUAAUCAUGGCAAAUGUUUAAAAAAUCAAUAUCCAGCUUUUGUUCAAAAUGUAAUUAAUUAAUGCAAAACUACACCUACUACUUCUUAAUUUGGUUAAAUCGAUCGACUACUUUAAUGCAAAACUACACCUACUAUUACAUCAUCAUAUUUCAGUUUUACUACUGAUUAUUUGUAUUAUUCAAUAAUGUUGUUUAGUUACUUAAGCAGAAAAAGGUAUACAAUUUGUUCAGGUUUAGUAAUUGCUUUUUAUCUUUCAUAGAUUACCAUUUUUCUCUGCUACACUGUUAACAGGCCAACAAACAAAAUGAACAGCAACUACAUGCAGCUGCUACAAAGAACAAUGGCUCAGAAGAUAGCUACAUUACUACUGGAAGCCCCCUCUUCAGAUCAGGAUCAUUCGGCACCGAGUCCGUGGAGGAGAAGGCGGCGAAACACGGCGAUUGUUCGCUCUCGCUGUCCUUGUCGUUAGAUCCGAGGAGCACGAGCAACGCAUCCCCGGCCAGCGAAAGCAGCGGCGUCUUCUUUUCGUCGUCACGAAGGAGCUUCAGCAAAUGCUCGGAUUACAAUUCCGGUGGCGGUCGAAGAAUCAACUUGGAUCUUUCCAUGUCCAUUUGUGGUUCUUAGGUUUAAUUUUGCAUCUCUAGAUAACUAAUUGGCUUCUUGUGUUUAAUUUUGUGAAUCAUCUUUUUUUUUCACUCUCUUUUCUGUUGUCGUCGUUUGAUUCGAUCUUAACAUCUUAGCCUAGUACUGUGAAUUACACUACACGCUUUAAUAGAAUAUUAGUUAGAAUCUUAAUUUGAACAGCCAGUAGUCGCAUCUCACGAAAUAGUCACGUUACUAGCGGGUGAACCCUCACCCUUAAAUGGGUGGAGGGUACAUCCUAUACCCCAAUGGAGUG